GCUGAAGCCAGUCGAAGAUACCAGCUGGCUGCAACUGUUUAUUAAAAACACAGCACUGUGCAAACACGAAAGUGGACGUAUACGGUGUGACGCCUGCCCGGUGCUGGAAGGUUAAUUGAUGGGGUCAGCCGUAAGGCGAAGCUCCUGAUCGAAGCCCCAGUAAACGGCGGCCGUAACUAUAACGGUCCUAAGGUAGCGAAAUUCCUUGUCGGGUAAGUUCCGACCUGCACGAAUGGCGUAAUGAUGGCCAGGCUGUCUCCACCCGAGACUCAGUGAAAUUGAACUCGCUGUGAAGAUGCAGUGUACCCGCGGCAAGACGGAAAGACCCCGUGAACCUUUACUAUAGCUUGACACUGAACAUUGAGCCUUGAUGUGUAGGAUAGGUGGGAGGCUUUGAAGUGUGGACGCCAGUCUGCAUGGAGCCAACCUUGAAAUACCACCCUUUAACGUUUGAUGUUCUAACCUAGGCCCAUAAACUGGGUCGGGGACCGUGUCUGGUGGGUAGUUUGACUGGGGCGGUCUCCUCCUAAAGAGUAACGGAGGAGCACGAAGGUUGGCUAAGCAUGGUCGGACAUCAUGCGGUUAGUGCAAAGGCAUAAGCCAGCUUGACUGCGAGAGUGACGGCUCGAGCAGGUACGAAAGUAGGUCUUAGUGAUCCGGUGGUUCUGAAUGGAAGGGCCAUCGCUCAACGGAUAAAAGGUACUCCGGGGAUAACAGGCUGAUACCGCCCAAGAGUUCAUAUCGACGGCGGUGUUUGGCACCUCGAUGUCGGCUCAUCACAUCCUGGGGCUGAAGUAGGUCCCAAGGGUAUGGCUGUUCGCCAUUUAAAGUGGUACGCGAGCUGGGUUUAGAACGUCGUGAGACAGUUCGGUCCCUAUCUGCCGUGGGCGUUGGAAGAUUGAGAGGGGUUGCUCCUAGUACGAGAGGACCGGAGUGAACGCACCACUGGUGUUCGGGUUGUCAUGCCAAUGGCAUUGCCCGGUAGCUAAGUGCGGAAGAGAUAACCGCUGAAAGCAUCUAAGCGGGAAACUUGCCUCGAGAUGAGUCUUCCCUGUCGCUUUAAGCGACCUAAAGGAACGUUUAAGACUAAGACGUUGAUAGGCUGGGUGUGUAAGCGUAG
rnacentral:rRNA from 1 species